rnacentral:lncRNA from 1 species
UUUUCAUUAAAUUUCAUUUAUAUCUGCCAUCUGAUUUCUUUUAGUUCUUGGUUACUAUAUUGGCAUGUUAUAGGUAUAGCUAUAAAAUUCUAUUUCUAUUUUCUACAGAGACCAAAAAGCAUUUCUUAGAUCUGAAAAAUCUAGCUGAGGACUAAGGUAAAAAAUGAGUCCAGAAGAAAGGACAGAUCUCUUCAUUAGCCAGAGGCCAGGAAGCUGAAGUAGUGAAGAACAUCUACCUGUUUCAGGUAACUACUGGCCAGCAAAAAGCCCAACUAUGGAAUGGUGUUAAUUGUCCAGAACACUGGGAUCACAAUGAUGUCCUUUCUGCAUUGCUAAUAAGCACAGAAUACAGGAAGAAGCUUUUAUUUCCAAGUUCUCAACUACAUCUGGAUAGGUGAUUUUUACAAGAAAAUACAAAAUUCACAAUUCAUUUAUAAACUGUUUCAGAGGCCCGAUUCAUCAUUGUGCUAAUUUCUAAAACUGUUGUUUUCAAGAAGGAUGGGAAUACAGAGGUAGUCCUUUCUGACAGAGAAACUAAAAACUUUUAUCUCAUGGCAAAUGUAGAAACCAACCCAUUUUUCAGCUGGUGAUUUUUUGGGUUCUGUUUAAAUGCAGAAACCCAGGAACUAUUUUCUGUCUCAAGAUAUGCACAUCUUAGCAAUAAAG